AUGCAUUCGGAGAACCUUGAGACAGCGGUCUCGCUGAGGAAACGGACGCUGUCCCGAGGGAUGAGCGAGGACGAGUCUCUGCGACACAUUAUCAGAGACGCGGAAGAAUCGAGCAGACAGCUGUCAUGCAGCGAUAGCAGAUAUGGAUCGUUAAAACGAGGACAAAGACAAGAAAGCCAUAGUGAAGCUGAUUUACUUUCUGAAAACAUAGAAACUAUGGAGCUGAGAGCGAGCUACGAGGACUGUGUGCAGGAGGUGCGGAGCCUGGAGCUGCAGCAGGAGGCUCUUCUGUUCCAGGUGGACUGUCUUCAGGACGCCCUCGAGGGCGCCGAGGAGAUGCUCGCUGAGACCCAGAGAGACAAUCACAGUCUCACCAUGGAACUGGAGCGAGAACGAGGGAAGAGGAGGACGUCGGAGGACAAGCUUGCCUCGUUAAAGCGGGAGCUGGAGAGGUUACGAGAGGACAGAAACAGUGAGCAGCUUCAGUGGAGCGAGGGGACGUCAGUGGACUGGGACGAUCAGCCGCUCGCUCACAGUGAAGGCUCUGCAGUGGAUCUGAACACAAGCCAGCUCUUACAACUCAAGAAAGUCAGCAACCAAACAUUAAGUCUGUCAGCGUUUCACAGUCAGAAGCACGAAACUCAGGGUUCAGAUGAUAACGAUGAAAGCAGCGGCUAUGAAGAUGCUCCGUCUGAGUUCUCCCCCAGUCCUUCCACUCCGGACGCAGCUGAUGAAGAGGGCGGCGGGACCUAUGACUCAGAGCCUGGGAUCCCUAAAAGUGCAGAUUCUUGUGCUCUCUCUUAGAUCAUUCUCAAAGUGCCGAUGAACCUAGAUUGAUUCAAUUCUCUGCUAGAAAUCUUUAUCCAAGGUUCUUUCUCUUUAACAGCCUUUGCACAAGCUAACAACUUUAAAAUGAAGACUACUUUAUUUUACCAAUCAGUCCACAAAAUGAUAUAUUAUAGUUACACUUCUGUUCACCUUGCUAUUAAACAUGCGCUGUCCAGCAAGUCAAGACACAAGGUAAUACUUUGUAUCUGUAUUUCAGCCUUAAUGAUAUAAAAUGUAAUUUUAGUUUUCAUAUCGUAUUAAUAAUCAAGUUACACGAAUCACUUUAAGGACAGAAUGCAGAGAGGCGUUCUUUGAAAGCUGGCGGUGUUUUCACAGGGAAUGCAUUGCUUGUGCUGGAUGACUCUGGAGAAGUCAAACUCUGAGCUGACGUGCCCUGAUCGACGAGCAGGCCCUGCACUUGCAUUUAUUCUAGAAAUACUCAACCUCGACUGAGCAGCAUGUUUCUGUGCACGUCCUCUAUACACUUUUAGGCACUUUAGACGCUUCUUAGAAGUGAUUUAUGUCGUUUUCAUUAGUGCACCAGUAGGAAAUAUCAAUUUAACAUUUCCAAACAUUCCUUUUGCAUAUCUUGUAAUAAUCCAGUGGAAUUUUUAUAUGAACAAUGAGUCCUAAAACAGAUUAUAAGAAGCUGCAAACUGCCUUAAAACUGCGCACGUGUGCCUAGGAAAAAGCUGUUUAAAGCAAAGGGUGUUUACAGCAAAUAUUAUUAAUAUUUUACUUAAUUUAAAGCAGCUGCAUGUAAUUGUGUAUUUUUGUGACUUUGGGGCCCCCUACAGUUAAAGGGAUACUCCAUCCCAAAAUGUAAAUUGUAAAAAGCUCCGUUCAUCUUCGGAACACAAUUUAAGAUAUUUUGGAUGAAAACCAGGAGGCUUGUGACUGUCUCAUAGACUGCAAAAUAAAAAACAGUGUCAAGGUCCA
ensembl:lncRNA